UGAUUUUAAGAGUGGCAGUGUCUGGGAUUAUAGGUGAUUGUAUUUCUUCCCUUUUGCACAUCUAUGUUCUCUCAUUUGUAUUGUGUGGGGAGAAGUGACUUUUUUUAUAAAAAGAAAAAGGUAUAUGCAUCCCAGCAGAGAAGCACUGGCUCCACCCAGUACCUGCCUCCUCAUGCCACCCUCUCAAGCCAAAAGCCGGGGGAAGCCCAGGCACCUUGACCAUGACCGCCCGAGACUCACACUUCUUCUUUCUCAUCAGGGAAGGAAAGCCCCCCUGUAAGCGAUACUCCAGAUGAGGGCGAUGAGCCCAUGCCGAUCCCCGAGGACCUCUCCACCACCUCGGGAGGACAGCAAAGCUCCAAGAGUGACAGAGUCGUGGCCAGUAAUGUUAAAGUAGAGACUCAGAGUGAUGAAGAGAAUGGGCGUGCCUGUGAAAUGAAUGGGGAAGAAUGUGCGGAGGAUUUACGAAUGCUUGAUGCCUCGGGAGAGAAAAUGAAUGGCUCCCACAGGGACCAAGGCAGCUCGGCUUUGUCAGGAGUUGGAGGCAUUCGACUUCCUAACGGAAAACUAAAGUGUGAUAUCUGUGGGAUCAUUUGCAUCGGGCCCAAUGUGCUCAUGGUUCACAAAAGAAGCCACACUGGAGAACGGCCCUUCCAGUGCAAUCAGUGCGGGGCCUCAUUCACCCAGAAGGGCAACCUGCUCCGGCACAUCAAGCUGCAUUCCGGGGAGAAGCCCUUCAAAUGCCACCUCUGCAACUACGCCUGCCGCCGGAGGGACGCCCUCACUGGCCACCUGAGGACGCACUCCGUUGGUAAACCUCACAAAUGUGGAUAUUGUGGCCGAAGCUAUAAACAGCGAAGCUCUUUAGAGGAACAUAAAGAGCGCUGCCACAACUACUUGGAAAGCAUGGGCCUUCCGGGCACACUGUACCCAGUCAUUAAAGAAGAAACUAAUCACAGUGAAAUGGCAGAAGACCUGUGCAAGAUAGGAUCAGAGAGAUCUCUCGUGCUGGACAGACUAGCAAGUAACGUCGCCAAACGUAAGAGCUCUAUGCCUCAGAAAUUUCUUGGGGACAAGGGCCUGUCCGACACGCCCUACGACAGCAGCGCCAGCUACGAGAAGGAGAACGAAAUGAUGAAGUCCCACGUGAUGGACCAAGCCAUCAACAACGCCAUCAACUACCUGGGGGCCGAGUCCCUGCGCCCGCUGGUGCAGACGCCCCCAGGCGGUUCCGAGGUGGUCCCGGUCAUCAGCCCGAUGUACCAGCUGCACAAGCCGCUCGCGGAGGGCACCCCGCGCUCCAACCACUCGGCCCAGGACAGCGCCGUGGAGAACCUGCUGCUGCUCUCCAAGGCCAAGUUGGUGCCCUCGGAGCGCGAGGCGUCCCCGAGCAACAGCUGCCAAGACUCCACGGACACCGAGAGCAACAACGAGGAGCAGCGCAGCGGUCUCAUCUACCUGACCAACCACAUCGCCCCGCACGCGCGCAACGGGCUGUCGCUCAAGGAGGAGCACCGCGCCUACGACCUGCUGCGCGCCGCCUCCGAGAACUCGCAGGACGCGCUCCGCGUGGUCAGCACCAGCGGAGAGCAGAUGAAGGUGUACAAGUGCGAACACUGCCGGGUGCUCUUCCUGGAUCACGUCAUGUACACCAUCCACAUGGGCUGCCACGGCUUCCGUGAUCCUUUUGAGUGCAACAUGUGCGGCUACCACAGCCAGGACCGGUACGAGUUCUCGUCGCACAUAACGCGAGGGGAGCACCGCUUCCACAUGAGCUAA
rnacentral:sRNA from 1 species